CAGCCGCCGCGGUAAAACCAGCACCUCAAGUGGUCAGGAUGAUUAUUGGGCCUAAAGCAUCCGUAGCUCGUUUUGUAAGUUUUCGGUUAAAUCCAUGCGCUUAACGUAUGGGCUGCCGGGAAUACUGCAUAACUAGGAAGUGGGAGAGGUAGACGGUACUCGGUAGGAAGGGGUAAAAUCCUUUGAUCUAUUGAUGACCACCUGUGGCGAAGGCGGUCUACCAGAACACGUUCGACGGUGAGGGAUGAAAGCUGGGGGAGCAAACCGGAUUAGAUACCCGGGUAGUCCCAGCUGUAAACGAUGUAGGCUCGGUGAUGGACUGGAUUCGAUCCAGCCCAGUGCUGCAGGGAAGCCGUUAAGUUUGCCGCCUGGGAAGUACGUACGCAAGUAUGAAACUUAAAGGAAUUGGCGGGGGAGCAC
rnacentral:rRNA from 1 species